ACUCCUACGGGAGGCAGCAGUGGGGAAUAUUGCACAAUGGGCGCAAGCCUGAUGCAGCCAUGCCGCGUGUAUGAAGAAGGCCUCGGUUGUAAAGUACUUUCUAGCAGUGAGGAAGGCGAGUACGUUAAUAGCGUGCUCGUUUGACGUUAGCUGCAGAAGAAGCACCGGCUAACUCCGUGCCAGCAGCCGCGGUAAUACGGAGGGGUGCGAGCGUUAAUCGGAAUUACUGGGCGUAAAGCGCAUGCAGGUGGUUUGUUAAGUUCAGAUGUGAAAGCCCGGGGCGUCAACCUCGGAAUUGCAUUUGAAACUGGCAGACUAGAGUACUGUAGAGGGGGUAGGAA
rnacentral:rRNA from 1 species